rnacentral:lncRNA from 1 species
CGGCUCCCUUCUUUGGCUAGCACCCCCCCCCCAUCACAGGCAGCUGGCUGUAUUUACAGAGGAACAGUCUAAGGAACCCCCAAUAGUCUAUUGGCUGCCUUUUACUGAGUACCUGACCAAACCAUGUACAACUCACUUCUCUAUAGGAAACAGGCCCUAGUGUCACAAAUCCCACUUGAAAAUGACUCUCUGAGGCUGACUUGGGGGUCUCUUGCUUGUUGGUCAUUUCCUGCCAUCCCAGCCAGCCAGCUCUAUUUGCUGCAAAUUGGUGAUGAGGCAAGGUGGCUGGGAGGCGCACCUCCCCGAGGGAGUUGUGUUGUUUUUAUAACCGGUGCCAGGUCUGAGUGCAGGGUGAGUAAGCGCCUCUUCCUCCUUUGCUCCGGCUGGUCUUCCACACCAAGUCUGCCUCUUGCACUGUUCCAGACAUGGUGGGGAGGAAGGGCUGCCUGGCUCUCGUGCUUCCUAGAUUUGGGACCCCAAACUCAAGAAGGCAACAGAAGUUGCUGCCACCUAAUAGGGGAAUUUCCCCAGCGAGCUGUCUUAUUCAAUUGUCUCUUUUUCCUUGUCGAUACCCAUGGCCCAUCCUGCAACCCACCUCCUUUCCCUGGUGACUUCAUCCUCAUGAGAACUCACUGGAAAGGGUCCCAUGCACCACUCCUGGUGAGUAUGGAGCUUCUGAGGACAGUGUCUAAAAGUUUGCCCAAGACACCUGGCUAAGUAUCAGGGCCAGGAAUUCUUUCCUUCCUGCCAUGCAGCUACUUGGGCUUCUGUAGGGAAACUGGAGUGCACAAUUUAAAACCUCACUUGUCUUAGUGGUGGUUGUUUUGGUUUAGAAACUGCUGGGUUAGAUAAAUAAGAGUUUAACCUGAGGUUCUUGUCUGUGUUUAAGAUCCCUACAUAAACACCUGAGUGGAAACCAGAUAAACCCUGGGAAGCUGUUGUGGGCUUUGGGAAGCCUCUUACAAAGUGAGAAAAGAUAAGUUCAGGGCUAGCCAGAAAGUAGAUGUUUUUGCAUGUGAGAGGCUAGAAUAUAUAGUGUUGAAUUCCUUUUCCAACUUACUUAGAACUAGUUCUAUUGACAGGUAAUUUACAAUCUGAAAUGUUUGUACCUUCGUCCUUACAAAUGAAUAUCUAUCUACCCAUCUGUGUAGUCUGAUCACUGACAAGAUGUAGACCAUGUUCAUCUCCCCAGAUGGACGCCUAAGGUGUCCACGGUCCUCAUUCAUUUCACCCUAGAAAUACUUUUACCUAGUCUAGAAGAGCAGCCUCUUCUUCUUUCUCCUCUUCUCAAAUGCUGGGAGUCUUGGUAUGUGCCACCAUGUGUGGUCUAUGAGGUUCUUGGGAUUGAACCAGUCUUGGUGGAUGUAGGUAAGCACUCUAGCAUCCCAGCCACGCCCUCAGUCUCUCUGAACUUCGUUAAAUGAAAUAGCACUCUCCUGUCUUGUGUGUUUUCCACUCACCCUUCAUUAUUUCUGAACUUCAAUCAUGUGUUUGUUCAUAGUUCAUUGUUGUUCAUUCUCCUAUUGAUGAACAUGAGACCCGUGUCCAGUUUGGGGCAAUUAUGAAUAUUAGUGAACAAAUCUUUUAUAGAUACAUGUUUUCAUUUCUCUUAAGUAAAUACCUGCAAAUGAAAUGGGGAACCAUGGGGCAGAUAUAGGUUUGACUAUAAGAAACUUCAAUUCCAUCUUCUGAAGUGCUCAGAUCACUUUAUAAACUAGUUUCUGUUUUCCCACAAUCUUUUCAACUAUUGGCAGUUGUAUUCCUUUUCUGUUACUGUAAAGAAUUCUACCACAGACAGGGUGUCUGAAAGCAGCAGACAUGUGCAAGCAAGCUAACAC